rfam:Pan troglodytes isolate Yerkes chimp pedigree #C0471 (Clint) chromosome 12, whole genome shotgun sequence.
AGGUUGUUUGUCAGUUUUUAGAAUUUUUCUAGUAGGUUUUCUGAUUUUCAAUAGAAAACGCCCCC